CUGCAAGAUGUUUAGUGAUGUUCCUUGGUCCCUGCAGAGAACAGAGAUAAAAAUGAAAACAGUAAAAACAUACUGUAUCUCUUUUACAUAUGUGCACACACACAUAUCUGUUUUACUGCCAGUGGUAGGGCUUGUCCACAUAACCAGAUGCCUUUUUAAGAGAAACUCUUCAAGGAAUUUCUUUAACAGAGAAACAGAUAGUGUCACAUGAUGAAACCUUAGUGGCAGUAUUUCUUUCUUUCUGUCUUCCUUUUUUUCUUUGAGUGGAAGUCAAGUAUGUGACGCCACACUGAACAAACACUACUUCAUAUUAAUCUUCUCUUCCUCACUCAUAGGUUUUGUGAAAUAAAACAACUGCCAAAACAUGUUCUGAUGUAAAACCAUGGGGGAUAAAUGUACACAUAAAAAUAUUUGUGAACAAAUACACUGAAAGCUCUGAGCUUUUUGCUAUUUCCUUUAGUGAAUGUUGGGAAAUCAUCCUCCCACAGAUACAGAAACAACACGUUGCUGCCAAAAUGGCUGGAGUUGUUAUUAAGGAUUCACAAAGGUAUUCAGCACCACACCAGAAGUGAAAAUUCAUCCCUACCACACCCAGAAACACCUGGCUGGGCAUGUAUAGUGCACAGUCUAUAACCACAAAUAUGAUCCUCUGUCUUUGUACUGAGCUGUACCCUGUGUGCUGUAGGACACCGACCCUGCAGGGGAAACUGUUGCGGGGGAUAAAAUAGGCAACACAUGCAGCAUUUCCCAAGGCACAAAGUGACACUACUAUAUAUCAGUGCACAAUGUUUUCUUCAUGCACUUGGAGGAAUCCUUCAAAGCAAGCACAUCAGACAUUUGCAGCAUAUCACUCUCUUAUAUUUGGGGCCCCUGGCUAGGUUUUAUAUAGGACCUGACAACAGCAACAAAGAAGUCGCAUUUCAAGAGUAUCUGUCAGUCAAAGAAGUGGGGUUCAACCCCCUCAUCUUGGCAAGGUUUUCCAUGGUCAUGUGGUCAGUAUGACAAACAAUGGCCCUCAGACCAAGUGAUACAUAUACAUAUUUCUAAUCAAAUUUACCUUAAAUGACUCAUUAAUGUGAGCAUGUUUGUCUGUGUGUUAGCCCUGUGAUAGACUGGAAAUAAUGGAAUGUGAGAAAUAAAUGAACACCAGGUGACCAGCGGACUCAGACAUCUGUAUCUGGCUCUUCUUGUCCACAAAGUCUUUCUUAAUGCAAGAACGUCUGGACAGUUUACAGAUUACAUUAUCAUCCCUAAGGUUUUGUGUAAUAUCCAAAACAUGUUGAGCUGAGGAUUCAGCUUGACCCUUCAAUAUAGAAUAAAGUACCUCCAGUGAUGAAGGCAAUUCUUCAAA